AUGCUGGAGGUAUCAGAAGUGCGAAUGCUGACAUAAGUAACGAUAAAGCGGGUGAAAAGCCCGCUCGCCGGAAGACCAAGGGUUCCUGUCCAACGUUAAUCGGGGCAGGGUGAGUCGACCCCUAAGGCGAGGCCGAAAGGCGUAGUCGAUGGGAAACAGGUUAAUAUUCCUGUACUUGGUGUUACUGCGAAGGGGGGACGGAGAAGGCUAUGUUGGCCGGGCGACGGUUGUCCCGGUUUAAGCGUGUAGGCUGGUUUUCCAGGCAAAUCCGGAAAAUCAAGGCUGAGGCGUGAUGACGAGGCACUACGGUGCUGAAGCAACAAAUGCCCUGCUUCCAGGAAAAGCCUCUAAGCAUCAGGUAACAUCAAAUCGUACCCCAAACCGACACAGGUGGUCAGGUAGAGAAUACCAAGGCGCUUGAGAGAACUCGGGUGAAGGAACUAGGCAAAAUGGUGCCGUAACUUCGGGAGAAGGCACGCUGAUAUGUAGGUGAAGUCCCUCGCGGAUGGAGCUGAAAUCAGUCGAAGAUACCAGCUGGCUGCAACUGUUUAUUAAAAACACAGCACUGUGCAAACACGAAAGUGGACGUAUACGGUGUGACGCCUGCCCGGUGCCGGAAGGUUAAUUGAUGGGGUCAGCGCAAGCGAAGCUCUUGAUCGAAGCCCCGGUAAACGGCGGCCGUAACUAUAACGGUCCUAAGGUAGCGAAAUUCCUUGUCGGGUAAGUUCCGACCUGCACGAAUGGCGUAAUGAUGGCCAGGCUGUCUCCACCCGAGACUCAGUGAAAUUGAACUCGCUGUGAAGAUGCAGUGUACCCGCGGCAAGACGGAAAGACCCCGUGAACCUUUACUAUAGCUUGACACUGAACAUUGAGCCUUGAUGUGUAGGAUAGGUGGGAGGCUUAGAAGUGUGGACGCCAGUCUGCAUGGAGCCGACCUUGAAAUACCACCCUUUAAUGUUUGAUGUUCUAACGUUGACCCGUGAUCCGGGUUGCGGACAGUGUCUGGUGGGUAGUUUGACUGGGGCGGUCUCCUCCUAAAGAGUAACGGAGGAGCACGAAGGUUGGCUAAUCCUGGUCGGACAUCAGGAGGUUAGUGCAAUGGCAUAAGCCAGCUUGACUGCGAGCGUGACGGCGCGAGCAGGUGCGAAAGCAGGUCAUAGUGAUCCGGUGGUUCUGAAUGGAAGGGCCAUCGCUCAACGGAUAAAAGGUACUCCGGGGAUAACAGGCUGAUACCGCCCAAGAGUUCAUAUCGACGGCGGUGUUUGGCACCUCGAUGUCGGCUCAUCACAUCCUGGGGCUGAAGUAGGUCCCAAGGGUAUGGCUGUUCGCCAUUUAAAGUGGUACGCGAGCUGGGUUUAGAACGUCGUGAGACAGUUCGGUCCCUAUCUGCCGUGGGCGCUGGAGAACUGAGGGGGGCUGCUCCUAGUACGAGAGGACCGGAGUGGACGCAUCACUGGUGUUCGGGUUGUCAUGCCAAUGGCACUGCCCGGUAGCUAAAUGCGGAAGAGAUAAGUGCUGAAAGCAUCUAAGCACGAAACUUGCCCCGAGAUGAGUUCUCCCUGACUCCUUGA
rnacentral:rRNA from 1 species